GGUGGCUCAGUGGUAGAGUGCUUGCCUGGCACGCAAGAGGCCCUGGGUUCGAUUCCUCAGCACCA
rnacentral:tRNA from 1 species